rnacentral:rRNA from 1 species
UACGGAGGGAGCUAGCGUUGUUCGGAAUUACUGGGCGUAAAGCGCACGUAGGCGGCUUUGUAAGUUAGAGGUGAAAGCCCGGGGCUCAACCCCGGAAUUGCCUUUAAGACUGCAUCGCUUGAAUCCGGGAGAGGUGAGUGGAAUUCCGAGUGUAGAGGUGAAAUUCGUAGAUAUUCGGAAGAACACCAGUGGCGAAGGCGGCUCAGCUGGCCCGGUACUG